rnacentral:piRNA from 1 species
ACAGCUGACAAGGCUAAGGCAACUCUUU